rnacentral:rRNA from 1 species
CUACGGGUUGCUGCAGUGAGGAAUAUUGCACAAUGGGGGGAACCCUGAUGCAGCAACGCCGCGUGGAGGAUGACGCAUUUCGGUGUGUAAACUCCUUUUAUAUGUCAAGAAAAUGACGGUAGCAUAUGAAUAAGCACCGGCUAACUCCGUGCCAGCAGCCGCGGUAAUACGGAGGGUGCAAGCGUUACUCGGAAUCACUGGGCGUAAAGGACGCGUAGGCGGGUUGGAAAGUCAGGUGUGAAAUCCUACAGCUUAACUGUAGAACUGCACUUGAAACUACGAGCCUAGAGUAUGGGAGGGGCAGAUGGAAUUAGUGGUGUAGGGGUAAAAUCCGUAGAUAUCACUAGGAAUACCGAAAGCGAAGGCGAUCUGCUGGAACAUUACUGACGCUAAGGCGUGAAAGCGUGGGGAGCAAACGGGAUUAGAUACCCGUGUAGUC